ACAAUGCACAUUCAUUGUCCUUAGGGCAAUGGGAUAAACAAAUACCAACAAAACCAAGUUAGCACACCCUAGAAUGGUUCUAACAUGAUUACUAACCUAUGGAUUUGAUACCAAUCGAUGGGAAAAAUAU
rnacentral:pre_miRNA from 1 species